CGGACCGGCGCACGGGUGCGUAACGCGUAUGCAACCUACCUUUAACAGGGGGAUAACACUGAGAAAUUGGUACUAAUACCCCAUAAUAUCAUAGAAGGCAUCUUUUAUGGUUGAAAAUUCCGAUGGUUAGAGAUGGGCAUGCGUUGUAUUAGCUAGUUGGUGGGGUAACGGCUCACCAAGGCGACGAUACAUAGGGGGACUGAGAGGUUAACCCCCCACACUGGUACUGAGACACGGACCAG
rnacentral:rRNA from 1 species